rnacentral:rRNA from 1 species
CAUGCCUAAGGAUGGGGCUGCGGCCGAUCAGGCAGUUGGUGAGGUAACGGCUCACCAAACCUUUGACCGGUACGGGCCAUGAGAGUGGUAGCCCGGAGAUGGGCACUGAGACAAGGGCCCAGGCCCUACGGGGCGCAGCAGGCGCGAAACCUCCACAAUUCACGCAAGUGAGAUGGGGUUACCUCGAGUGCUAUCUGAAGAAGGUGGCUUUUCCAUGGUGUAAUGAGCUGUGGGAAUAAGGGGGGGGCAAGACUGGUGUCAGCCGCCGCGGUAACACCAGCCCCCCGAGUGGUGGGGAUGAUUAUUUGGCCUAAAGCGUCCGUAGCCAGCUCGGUAAAUCUCUCGUUAAAUCCAGCGUCCUAAGCGUUGGGCUGCGAGGGAAACUGCCGAACUAGAGGGUGGGAGAGGUCAGCGGUAUUCCUGGGGUAGGGGCGAAAUCCAUUGAUCCCAGGAGGACCACCAGUGGCGAAGGCUGCUGACUAGAACACGCCUGACGGUGAGGGACGAAAGCUGGGGUAGCGAAUCGGAUUAGAUACCCGAGUAGUCCCAGCCGUAAACGAUGUAGGCUAGGUGUUGGGUCGGCCAU